rnacentral:rRNA from 1 species
GAUGAACGCUGGCGGCGUGCCUAAUACAUGCAAGUCGAGCGGUAAGGCUCCUUCGGGAGUACACGAGCGGCGGACGGGUGAGUAACGCGUAAGAAUGUACCCCAAACUGAGGGAUAACUGCUCGAAAGAGUAGCUAAUACCGCAUAUGCUCUUAGGAGUAAAGCUACGGGCGGUUUGGGAACAGCUUGCGUAGGAUUAGCUAGUUGGUAAGGUAAUGGCUUACCAAGGCGACGAUCCUUAGCUGGUCUGAGAGGAUGAUCAGCCACACUGGGACUGAGACACGGCCCAGACUCCUACGGGAGGCAGCAGUAGGGAAUUUUCCACAAUGGGGGCAACCCUGAUGGAGCAACGCCGCGUGCAGGAUGAAGGCCUUCGGGUUGUAAACUGCUUUUGUCUGUGACGAAUAUGACGGUAGCAGACGAAUAAGGAUCGGCUAACUACGUGCCGGCAGCCGCGGUAAUAC